rnacentral:RNase_P_RNA from 1 species
GAGUCGGCCGGGUGAUCGCGGUAAAUGAACCGCCCGCUUGAUGCGGGCAGGCGUGAGCCGAGGAAAGUCCGGACUCCGAAGAGCACGGUGGUUGCUAACGGCAACCCGGGGCAACCCGCGGGCAUGUGCAACAGAGAGUAGACCGCCCGGUUUUUGACCGGGUAAGGGUGAAAGGGUGCGGUAAGAGCGCACCGGCGCGGCAGGUGACUGCCGCGGCCAGGUAAACCCCACCGGGAGCAAGGCAUCACGGUCUGCCACCGGCAGACCCGAUCAGGUGAUUGAGGGCUGCUCGCCCGAGCCUGAAGGUAGCUGCUCGAGGCGCCCAGCGAUGGGUGGCCCAGAUGGAUGAUCACCGCCGCCAGCGGCACAGAAUCCGGCUUAUACGCCGGCUCAU